ensembl:lncRNA
CAGAGAGAUAGAUAGGGAGCAACAGACAGAUAGAUAGAUAGGGAGCAACAGAGAGAGAGAGAGAGAGAUAGAUAGGGAGCAACAGAGAGAGAGAGAGAGAUAGAUAGGGAGUAACAGAGAGAGAGAGAUAGAUAGAGAGCAACAGACAGACAGAGAGAUAGAUAGAGAGCAACAGACAGACAGAGAGAUAGAUAGGGAGCAACAGAGAGAGAGAGAGAUAGAUAGGGAGCAACAGAGAGAGAGAGAGAGAUAGAUAGGGAGCAACAGAGAGAGAGAGAGAUAGAUAGGGAGCAACAGAGAGAGAGAGAGAGAGAGAUAGAUAGGGAGCAACAGAGAGAGAGAGAGAGAUAGAUAGGGAGCAACAGAGAGAGAGAGAGAGCAACAGAGAGAGAUAGAGAGAGAGAGAUAGAGAGAGAGCAACAGAGAGAGAGAGAUAGAUAGGGAGCAACAGAGAGAGAGAGAUAGAUAGAGAGCAACAGACAGACAGAGAGAUAGAUAGGGAGCAACAGAGAGAGAGAGAUAGAUAGGGAGCAACAGAGAGAGAGAGAGAGAGAGAGAGAUAGAUAGGGAGCAACAGAGAGAUAGAUAGGGAGCAACAGACAGACAGAGAGAUAGAUAGAGAGCAACAGACAGAGAGAGAGAUAGAUAGGGAGCAACAGAGAGAGAGAGAGAGAUAUAUAGAUAGGGAGCAACAGAGAGAGAGAUAGAUAGGGAGCAACAGAGAGAGAGAGAGAGGAUGUUCCUAUUUUCGAAGUCUUUUUGGAACUCUAGCUCGACCUGGAAAGCGUGCGGGAGUGCACCAGUCACAGUAUUUCCGUCAUUAGCUCGUUAGCUCAGAGGCGAGCAGGGAUCAUGGGAAGUCUCACGGUGUCCCUUCGACACAAAAGCAGUAAAAAGUGAGCCUUCUGCAUGGCGUCGUGUGUGUGUGUGUGUGUGUGUGUGUUAAUCGACUCAACCACCGCAUAAUCUCAUACACAGUAACUGUGCUAGCUUGGUAAAAAAGAGGCCUGGGUGGUCGAACACAUCCAACACCCAACACCCACACCCUGUCCCAUCUUAAUCCCCACAUCCCACCCCACCCUUCCCCCAUACGUUCUAAUUCCAGUCUGAGGCCUGGCACGGGGCCUAGUCUAAGUGACAAAGCUGAAGUUUACAGCUAGUGCUUGGCAACAGUGUGGCGGGGACCAACAGACCAUUACAGGGAAAUCAAC